rnacentral:SRP_RNA from 1 species
GCCGGGUGCUGUGGCAUAUGCCUGUAGUCCCAGUUACUCGGGAGGAUGGCUUGAGCCCAGGAGUUCUGGAGUCGAGUGUGCCCUCCUGAUCAGGUGUCUGCAGUAAGUUUAGCAACAAUGUGGUGACCUCCUGGGAGCGAGGGACCACCAGGUAGCCUGAGGAGGGGUGACCUAGCCUAGGUCAAAAAACAGAGCAGGUACAACUCCUGUGCUGAUCAGUAGUGCAGUCGUGCUUGUGAAUACCCACUGAAUUCCAGCAUGGGUAAGCGCA